rnacentral:rRNA from 1 species
CCAGACUCCUACGGGAGGCAGCAGUGAGGAAUAUUGGUCAAUGGGCGGGAGCCUGAACCAGCCAAGCCGCGUGAGGGAAGAAGGUACAGCGUAUCGUAAACCUCUUUUGUCAGGGAACAAAGGCGGGGACUAGUCCCCGGAUGAGGGUACCUGAAGAAAAAGCAUCGGCUAACUCCGUGCCAGCAGCCGCGGUAAUACGGAGGAUGCGAGCGUUAUCCGGAUUUAUUGGGUUUAAAGGGUGCGCAGGCGGCUUGUUAGGUCGGCGGUAAAGGCGCGGGGCUCAACCCGGGCGAGCCGUUGAAACUGGCGGGCUGGAGUUGGAGAGAAGUACGCGGAAUGCGCGGUGUAGCGGUGAAAUGCAUAGAUAUCACGCAGAACUCCGAUUGCGAAGGCAGCGCACCGGCGCCCUACUGACGCUCAGGCACGAAAGCGUGGGUAUCGAACAGGAUUAGAUACCCGAGUA